AGAAAUUAAACAAAAAUUAAAAUUAAAAUUAAACAAAAAGCAAAACCCUAAAUUAUGAUGUCAAAAAGGGGGAGAAAUUAAACAAAAACAAGAAUUGGAAGAUUAAACCAAACCUGAGAAAUUAAACCAAACUUGAGAAAUUAAACAAAAAAUUGGAAGAUUAAAAAAAAAAAAUUAAUUGAGAAACAAAUAUUGGAGAAAUUAAACAAAACUUUGAGAAAUUUGGUAUCGAAAUUUGGUAUCAGACAGAAAUUAAACAAAAAGCCAUCCAUCAAAAGCAAAAUCAUAAGUACAAUGUAAAUAAGUAUUUUUUAUAUAUGCUCUGAUAUAUUUCAAAAUUCAAACUUGCUCUGAUACAUCUUUUGAAAUUUUAUUCACCUUGAUACAACUUAAGAAAUUUGAUUUACUCUGAUACACCCUAAAAUUUCUUUUAACUUGCUCUGAUACAUGAUAAAAUUUAAUCUGAUACAGUAUGAAAGUUUCUCUGAUAUAUUAUAACAUUUUCUCUAAUACAGUGUAAAAUUUUCUCUGAUAUAUUAUAAAAUUUUCUUGCUCUAAUACAUUAUAAAAUCUUUUCUAAUAUCAUUGUAAAAAUUAUUUUUCUUGCUCUGAUACAUUGUAAAAUUUAUUUCUCUUCUCUUGCUCUGAUAUAUCUUAAACUCAAAAUGAUCUAAUACCCUUUUCAAAUCUUUAAGAAAAUGGACAAACUAUUUUUGCAUUUAUAAUACAUGCCAAAAGAAUCAUACUCUUUUCAAGCAUAUACACCUAUAAUGGAUUCUUUUGAAAUUAAUGCAUUAACAUAAAUAUUUUUGUUCAAAUAUUUUGUCAUCAUCAAAAAGGAGGAGAUUGUUGCUCCUAGAUUGAUUUUGAUGAUUACAAAGCAGAUUGAAGGGAUACAAAUAAUUUUAAAAUGAAAAAGUCCUUAUGCUCUUCAAGGGCAAAAUCAUAAUUUCACUAAAAUCCUGAUUUGAUAGUAUCAUUUGGUAGAACAAAUGAUUUGAAAUCUAUUGGUGAAAAUUUCAUUGUGUUUGGACUUAUAUUUUUGAAGUUAUGAAG
rnacentral:lncRNA from 1 species